UUAACUGGAGGUGUAGGAACUGGGGGCUUAUAUGGGGGAGUUGGUGCUUUAGUUGGCGGUGCUGGUGCUGGAGUUGGUGCUUUGGUUGGGGGUGUUGGGGGCUUAUAUGGGGGAGUAGGGGCCUUGACUGGAGGUGCCGGUGCGGGAGUAGGGGGUUUAUAUGGGGGAGUAGGAGCCUUGGUUGGUGGUGCUGGUGCUGGGGGCUUAAAUGGUGGAGUUGGAGCCUUGGUUGGUGGUGCAGGAGCUGGGGGCUUAUAUGGUGGAGUAGGAGCCUUGGUUGGUGGUGCAGGAGCUGGGGGCUUAUAUGGUGGAGUAGGAGCCUUGGUUGGUGGUGCAGGAGCUGGGGGUUUAUAUGGGGGAGUAGGAGCCUUGGUUGGUGGUUUAUAUGGUGGAGUGGGGGCCUUGGUAGGGGGUUUGUAUGGAGUGGGGCCCUUAGUUGGGGGUGCUGGAGUUGGAGCCUUGUACGGCGGCACCGGAGUGGUGGGAGGCUUAACGGGUGGAGCAGGGAUAGGUGCCUUCACUGGAACAGGAGCAGCAUACUUAAUCUGAACAGUGAUAUGCAACAAAUUUAGCAAA
rnacentral:lncRNA from 1 species